UGGACAAGUAAAAAGUAUAUAUAUUUGGGUUGUACAGUGUGAUUACUUUCUUUUUUUUUUUUUUUAAUUUUUUUUAACGUUUAUUUAUUUUUGAGGCAGAGAGAGCCAGAGCAUGAACGGGGGAGGUUCAGAGAGAGGGAGACACAGAAUGUGAAACAGGCUCCAGGCUCCGAGCGGUCAGCACAGAGCCCGACGCGGGGCUCGAACUCACGGACCGCGAGAUCAUGACCUGAGCCGAAGUCAGCCGCUUAACCGACUGAGCCACCCAGGCGCCCCAAGUGUGAUUACUUUCAAGGUGUACAACAUGAUAACUUCAUAUGCGUAUAUCUUGUGAAACGAUUACCACAAUCAAGUUAAUUAACACAUCCAUCACUUCACACAGUUACCUUUGUUUUAAUGUUUAUUUAUUUACCUUGAGAGAGAAAGCAUGCAUGUGUGCAUGCAUGAAGAAGGUGGGGGGGGGGUGGUUGAGAGAGAGAGAGAGAGAGAGAGAGAGAGAGAGAAUCCUAAGCAGGCUCUGUGCUCAGCGUGGAUCCUGAUGUGGUGCUCGAUCUCAUGACCAUGAGAUCAUGUCCUGAGCCAAAAUCAAGAGUCGGAUGCUUAACCAACCGAGCCACCCAGGUGCCCCCACCGUUACCUUUUUUUAAGUAGUGAGAACGCUUAAGAUCUACUCUCUUAGCAAAUUUCAACUAUACAAUACGGUAUUAUUAACUACAAUCACCAUUCUGUACAUUAGAUCCCCAGAACUUAUAACUAAAAGCUUGUACCCUUUCACCAACACCACCCCGUUCCCCCCUUGUCCCUCAGCCCCUUCUGCCACCAUUCCACUUUUAGCCUCUACGAACUCAACUUUAAAAACAAUUUUUUUUAACUUUUUAAUGUUUAUUUAUUUUGAGAGAGAGACAGAGAGUGAGCAGGGGAAAGGCAGAGAGAGAGGGAGACACAGAAUCCGAAGCAGGCUCCAGGCUCCGAGCUGUCGGCACAGAGCCCGACGUGGGGCUUGAAUCCAUGAACCGUGAGAUCGUGACCUGAGCCGAAGUCAGAUGCGUAACCCACUGAGCCACCCAGGUGCCCCUGAACUCAACUUUUUUAGAUUCCACAUAUACGUGAGGUCAUACGGUAUUUGUCUUUCUCUGACUUAUUUUGCUUAGCAUAGUGCCCCCUGAGUUUCAUCCAUGUUGUCACAAAUGGCAGGCUUUUUCCUUCUUUCUCACGCCUGGAUGAUAUUCCAUCAUAUAUACAUACCACGUCUUCUUUAUUCAUCUACGGGUGGACACUUUGCAUAUCUUGGCUAUGGUAAAUAAUGCUGCAGUAAACAUAGGGGUGCACGUACCCCUUUGAAUUAGUGUUUUUGUUCCUUUUGGGUAGCGUGAUUAUUGGAUCAUAGGGCAAUUCUAUUUUUAACGUCUUGAGAAACCUCCAUACCGUUUUCCACAGUGGCCGCCCCAGUUUGCAUUCCCACCGGCAACGCACGAGCGUUCCCCUUUCUCCACAUCCUCACCAACACUGGUUAUUUCUUGUCUUUGAUGUUGGCCAUUCUAAUAGGCAUAAGAGGAUGCCUAAUCGUGGUUUUGGUUUUCAUUUCCCUGAUGAUUAAUGAUGUCGAACAUCUUUUCGUAUAACCUGUUGGCCAGAAGUAGACUACUAAUACUAAGCAACAGGUUUUCACUAUUCAUUUUUCACUCCACUUUCGAAAUAUUUGCAUUUUAGGAACUGAUCUGUCUACGUCAGACAGCAAGUGAUUUAAAUUGUGUGGAAGAGAAUUUUGCAUCAUACUUUGUUUUCUCUGACUCAGUCGUUUUUGACACCAUACUCUCAGCAAGGGAGACUGUUUUUUUUUUUUAAACUUUUAAUUGAUGUAGAGGAUCCUAUAGAAAAAUCACACAAUGAGUUUUCACAAGUGAUUUUUGCAACUGAUUUUUCACUUAUGUAACCAGCACCCCAGAAGCCCCAUCGUGACCCCUUUUAGCGACUCUCCCAAAGCAUGACUGUUACCCUGACUUCUGAUCCCAUAGAUUAGUUUUGUUGCCUCUGUUUAUUUUUAUUUAUUUGUUUUUAAAGUUUAUUUAUUGAUUUUGAGAGAGAACAAGUGAGCAGGGGAGGGGCAGAGGGAGAGGGAGAAAGGAUCCCAAGCAGGCUCCACGCUGUUAGCGCAGAGCCCGAUGCGGGGCUCGAUCUCAUGAACUGUGAGAUCGUGACCUGAGCCAAAACCAAGGGUCGGGUGCCUGACUGAGCCCCCCGGGCGCCUCUGUUGCCUCUUUGAAGCCUCGUAUGAACGAAUUCUCCAGCAUUUGCUUUUUGUGCGCAUCUGCCUUCUUUCACCCAGCGUUCCUUGUCAGUGUUUCGUUCUCACUGCAUUGGUUCUGUCGUGUCGGUAUUAUCACAUUUGAUUUAUCCAUUCUCCCUUUGGGGCGUAUUUGGAUAGUUUCCGGUUGGGAGUUUUAUGAAUAGGGUUUUCAUGAACAUUUGCGUAUUUGUCUCUUGGUGCGCACGUGCGUACGUUUCUGUCGAGCCUGUGUGGGUCAGAGGGUUAUAUAUGAUGGUCUCUAAGUGAUGAUCUGACUGUUCCCAAAUGGUUGUGCCCAUUUACACCACGAAGAGCAGAAGCGGAGGACGCUAGAUGCUUCCCAUCCUCAUCAGCACUCGGUGUUGUCCGAUAGGCGUGUGUGUGUCAUUAGCUUGUGGAUUUAAUUCGCAUUUCCCCGAUGAUUAAUGAAGCUGAGCGCUUUUGCACAUGUUCGUUGGCAAUUUGGAAUACCCUCUUGUGAAACGCCUGCUCAAAUCUUUUGCCAGUUUUUCUGUGGGGUUGUCUGCGUCUUCCUCGUUAGUUGGUGGGCUAUACGUAUAUGUGCGUGGGUGUGUUCCAUAUAAAUAUAAGUAUAUAUUAUAAAUAGGUAUGUAUGCAAGUUCUUUGUCAGCGAUUGCGGGCAUCUUCUCUCACUCGAUGCGUCACUUUUCAAAUUUCCUGAAUAGGAUAUCUUUGGAUGAACAGAAGAAGUUUGGAAUUUUGAUACAGAUGACUUUAUAACAAUUUUUCCUUUAGGGUUACUAUUGUGCGGUUUUAUUUAAGAAAUCUUUUCCUGCUUCAAGGUCAUGAAGAUGUUCUACGUUUUCUUCUAAAAUCUCGCCGUAUUUAUGUAUUUGUUUGUUCAGUUUAUUUUAACUUUCACAUUUAGAUGUGCGGUCCAUUUGGAAUUGACUUUGUAAAUACUGUGAGGUAGGGGUCAAGAGGUUUUUUUUCUU